UACGUAGGGUGCGAGCGUUGUCCGGAAUUAUUGGGCGUAAAGAGCUCGUAGGCGGUGUGUCACGUCGGCCGUGAAAACCUGCAGCUUAACUGUGGGCGUGCGGUCGAUACGGGCAUCACUGGAGUUCGGCAGGGGAGACUGGAAUUCCUGGUGUAGCGGUGAAAUGCGCAGAUAUCAGGAGGAACACCUAUGGCGAAGGCAGCUCGCUGGGACGGUACUGACGCUGAGACGCGAAAGCGUGGGGAGCGAACAGG
rnacentral:rRNA from 1 species